UCUAAUGUGGCAGAAUAGUGCGUUGGAUUUAAGAUCCAAAUAUAAAGUUUUAAGCUUUUUUUAGAA
rnacentral:tRNA from 1 species